GAUGAACGCUGGCGGCGUGCUUAACACAUGCAAGUCGAGCGAUGAAGUUUCCUUCGGGAAACGGAUUAGCGGCGGACGGGUGAGUAACACGUGGGUAACCUGCCUCAUAGAGUGGAAUAGCCUUCCGAAAGGAAGAUUAAUACCGCAUAAUGUUGAAAGAUGGCAUCAUCAUUUAACCAAAGGAGCAAUCCGCUAUGAGAUGGACCCGCGGCGCAUUAGUUAGUUGGUAGGGUAACGGCCUACCAAGACGAAUGAUCAGUAGCCGGACUGAGUGGUUGAACGGCCACAUUGGGACUGAGAUACGGCCCAG
rnacentral:rRNA from 1 species